rnacentral:rRNA from 1 species
UACAGAGGGGGCAAGCGUUGUCCGGAGUUACUGGGCGUAAAGGGUCCGCAGGCGGCUAUGCAAGUGUCGUGUGAAAGCCCCGUGCUUAACACGGGGAGGCCACGGCAGACUGCACAGCUCGAGGGAUGCAGAGGGUGGUGGAAUUGCCGGUGUAGUGGUGAAAUGCGUAGAGAUCGGCAGGAACACCCAGGGCGAAAGCAGCCACCUGGGCAUCAUCUGACGCUGAGGGACGAAAGCGUGGGGAGCGAACCGG